UACGUAGGGCGCAAGCGUUGUCCGGAAUUAUUGGGCGUAAAGAGCUCGUAGGCGGUUUGUCGCGUCUGCUGUGAAAACCUAAGGCUCAACCUUGGGCUUGCAGUGGGUACGGGCAGACUAGAGUGCGGUAGGGGUGACUGGAAUUCCUGGUGUAGCGGUGGAAUGCGCAGAUAUCAGGAGGAGCACCGAUGGCGAAGGCAGGUCACUGGGCCGCAACU
rnacentral:rRNA from 1 species